rnacentral:tRNA from 1 species
GGUCCCGUAGCCAAGUGGUUAGGCAACGGAUUGCAAAUCCGUCUACGGCGGUUCGAUUCCGCCCGGGACCUCCA